rnacentral:rRNA from 1 species
CUACGGGCGGCUGCAGUGAGGAAUUUUGCGCAAUGGGGGAAACCCUGACGCAGCGACGCCGCGUGGACGAUGAAGGCCUUAGGGUUGUAAAGUCCUGUCAGCAGGAAAGAAAUGUGCAUAAGCUAAUACCUUAUGCAUUUGACGGUACCUGCAAAGGAAGCACCGGCUAACUCCGUGGCCAGCAGCCGCGGUAAUACGGAGGGUGCAAGCGGUAAUCGGAAUUACUGGGCGUAAAGGGCGCGUAGGCGGCCCUGUUAGUCAGAUGUGAAAGCCCCCGGCUCAACCGGGGAAGUGCAUCUGAAACUGCAGGGCUUGAAUAUGGGAGAGGAAAGUGGAAUUCCCGGUGUAGAGGUGAAAUUCGUAGAUAUCGGGAGGAACACCAGUGGCGAAGGCGACUUUCUGGACCAAUAUUGACGCUGAGGCGCGAAAGCGUGGGGAGCAAACAGGAUUAGAUACCCUGGUAGUC